GCAGCUGAAGGAGAAGCUGCGGCUCUACGGGGAGCGGGAGAAGGAGCAGGACUUCUGGCUGGUGGUGGAGCCCAAGUUCCUCGACAGGUUCCCCAACAUCACCAAGCGCCUCAAGCGCCCCGCCGUCGCGCUCGUCUCCACCGACGGCAACUGGAUCACUUUUAUGAAGUUGAGGCUAGACAGGGUCUUAGCAGAACAAUUUGAAGCAGAAACGCUUGAGGAGGCAUUGGCUUCUAACCCGGUCGACUUGAAAUUUGACAAGCCUGAG
rnacentral:misc_RNA from 1 species